CUCACCAAUGAUGAGUUGCAAAACCUUAUUGCCUACAUUGUUUGAACCUCGUGAGAACUGAUGCAACAUCUGAGGAUGAA
rfam:Triticum aestivum genome assembly, contig: Triticum_aestivum_CS42_TGACv1_scaffold_343680_4DL